rnacentral:rRNA from 1 species
AUCUAUGGCCAUGCUACCCUGAACAACAAGCUUGAUCCCAUCUGAUCUCGGAAGCUAAGCAGGGUCGGGCCUGGUUAGUACUUGGAUGGGAGACCGCCUAGGAAGACCAGCUGCUGUAGGUG